UACCCCAUAGUAUCGUCAGAAGGCAUCUGAAGACGAUUAAAGCUCCGGCACUUUGAGAUGGGCGUGCGUCUGAUUAGGUAGUUGGUAGGGUAACGGCCUACCAAGCCGACGAUCAGUAGCUGAUGUGAGAGCAUGAUCAGCCACACGGGCACUGAGACACGGGCCCGACUCCUACGGGAGGCAGCAGUGAGGAAUAUUGGUCAAUGGAGGCAACUCUGAACCAGCCAUGCCGCGUGAAGGAUGAAGGUCCUCUGGAUUGUAAACUUCUUUUAUAGAAGAAGAAACCCCAUUUUUCUAAAUGGGUUGACGGUACUCUAUGAAUAAGCACCGGCUAACUCCGUGCCAGCAGCCGCGGUAAUACGGAGGGUGCAAGCGUUAUCCGGAUUCACUGGGUUUAAAGGGAGCGUAGGUGGGCUUGUAAGUCAGUGGUGAAAUCUCCGAGCUUAACUUGGAAACUGCCAUUGAUACUACUGGUCUUGAAUUCUGUGGAGGUAAGCGGAAUAUAUCAUGUAGCGGUGAAAUGCUUAGAUAUGAUAUAGAACACCGAUAGCGAAGGCAGCUUACUACGCAGAUAUUGACACUGAGGCUCGAAAGCGUGGGGAUCAAACAGGAUUAGAUACCCUGGUAGUCCACGCCCUAAACUAUGGAUACUCGACAUCAGCGAUACACAGUUGGUGUCUGAGCGAAAGCAUUAAGUAUCCCACCUGGGGAGUACGUCCGCAA
rnacentral:rRNA from 1 species